UAUUAAGAACCUCAGUAAUAUAUGGAAAUAAAUAAAAAUAUUCAUACAACAUCUACAAAGUGUCAAUAUAAAAUACCAGAUUCUAAACCAAGAUGAUGAUUUUCAGUAGAGUGAUAAGCUAACAUACGUCAAAGUCCAACUGCUAAAAAAGCGGUACCAAUAAUAACAUGUAGUCCAUGAAACCCUGUUCCGAAAUAAAAACAAGACCCGUAUGUACUAUCACUAAUACUAAAAAAAGAAACAGAGUAUUCUACAGCUUGAAAAACAGUAAAUAUUAUUGCCAAUACAGCGGUUAAAACUAAACCAUAUAAAGAACCUUUUCUAUUACCUUCUAUUAAACAAUGAUGAGCAUAAGUGACUGUGAACCCUGAAGAUAGUAAUAUAACAGUAUUUAUUAUUGGUAGUUCAAAAGGAUUUAUAGCUUCUAUACCAGUAGGAGGUCAGUGUGCACCCAAUUCUACUGUUGGACUCAAUGCACUAUGAAAAUAAGCUCAAAAUAUAGCUAAGAAAAAAAGAGCUUCACUUACUAUAAAUAAACCUACUCCCAUGUUUAAUCCUCUUUGAACAGCUAAAGUAUGAUUACCUAAGUAUGUACCCUCAGAUACUACGUCUCUAAAUCAAAAACUCAUUGAUAAAAUUAAACUAAUUAAAGCUAAAAAUACAAAAAUAUCCGCAUUGAAAAAGUUAUGCAUAGUUAACACAAAUGUUGUUGUUAGACUAAGUAAAGAAACACUUGUAUUUAAAGGUCAAAGAGAUGGGGAAACAAGAUGAAAAGGGUGUGCUUGGAAUUCUCGUCUAGCUAGAAGUAAACUGUAUCUGCACAGUUAUUACAAUUUCACUGAGUCAAUCUUCAAGACAGCUGUUGUCUCGUGAAAUCAUUCAUGCGGGACCGCAUUUAACGGCCACGGUAUUACGCUACCUUAGGAUCCUUAUAGUUAAGACCGCCAUUGAUCGGGGGUUCCUUCAAAACCUAACUUUAAUUAAGAAAAUCCGUUAACCAGCCGAUAUAGGGCAGAUAUCACACUCAAUACUUUGACUUUAAGUCUUACGCAAAGUGCUUUGUUUUAAGUAAACAGUCGUACAACACUAUUCUAUGCCUCCUCUUCUUAUCUGAUAUCACUCAAAAAGAAUGGCUCUGCUUAUUCCGAAGUUACGCAAGUUAAUUUGCCGAGUUCCUUAAUGAUUGUUGACUCAUUCGCCUUCGUAUACUACACUAACUUACCUCCAAAGAUUCUAGAUACGGUACUUAGAGGCCGUUACUUUGAUUUAGUCAUAAGCUUAAGGCGAGGAUUAUUAUUGUUAAUCCUUUUUCGUUACUCAUAUCAGCAUUUUCACUAGGAUUAUCUUAUAAAAUUUCUAAAAUAGAAAAAUACCUUAGAUAUAUCCUAUGUUCCGCUACCACUUAUUAAAAAUAUAAUAGUAUAUUAUUAUAAGUACAAGGUUUCGGUAUAUUAUUUAGAUCCGUUAAAUUUUUAGUGCGGUUAUAUUGUUAAAAUAAAUUAUUAAAAUGCAUAAACAUAGUAUAAUUAGUGUCAUCCAGUGCUCUGUUACGAGAUCAUAAAAAAUUGGCCGCUUCUAAGCCUAUUAACUGAACGUCUUACAUAACAACUUCCUUUAUUUCACUUAAUAAUAAUUUAGGAACCUUAUUAACUCUUGUUUUGGGCUGUUUCCCUUUGGACAUAUUACCUUAUCAUAUUAUGUCUGACUAUUCAAUAAAAUCUUUGCCAUUUCGAUUAGUCUACCCACCGAUAAAAUUCUCGCAAAUUCCCCGAUGUGUACAAAACAAUAUAAAUUAUUUUGUCAGAGAGUCCAUUAUGUACCUGCUAAGAUAUAUAUAGAAUCACCUACUUAGAUAGGUUUCGCGGAAAACCAGCUAUGCUAGUCAGUAUUGUCUUUCACUAACCUACCACAAUUCUUCGGAUAUCUUUGCAACGAUAACCCGUGCGGACUUUUAUAAUCCUGAUCAUGGUAAGAUCACUAGCUUUCGGGUCUAAUUAUAAAUACUUUAUCAUUUUUUCAUAACUGAUUUAUCUGGGCAAAAUUAAAAAUUAAAUAUUAAAUAUUAGAUAUUUUUAUGCUCGCAUUUAUAAUUAACUUGCUGACCCAUUAUGCAAAAGGUACGUUCGUGUCUUUUUUUAAUUAAACUAGAACUGCUUAUAAAACUACUAAUUUAUAUAACAUUCCCUUACGGUACUUAGGUUAACUAUUGCUUAUAUACUAUAUUUAGCUUUAGAGGAAGGUUCCCCUAUAUUCAAACAGAAUUAAAUUCCGUUUUAAUUAUAUAAUUAAACAAUUUAUACAGUAGCCAUUUUGUAAAAUUAGUUUCAGCUUUUCUAUUUUUGUUCACACUAAUAAUAGAAUCUCUUUUGAUUUAUUUUCCUAAAGUUAUUAAGAUAUUUCAAUUCACUUAGUUUGUUAAUUAAUUUCUCUUAGAGUUUAUCUUCU
rnacentral:rRNA from 1 species